AAUGUUUAUAUUUGAUCAGCUGGCACAGACUGGCGCAUAUGUAUUAUAGCGAUGCUGAGGCCGCUCUGAUUGUUUAUAAUGUUCAGGAUCGGUAUAGUUAUAUUUGCAGCAAAAUGUGGAUUGAGGAAUUACGCGAAAAGUUGGCCCCGACUGUUGUCAUAGCCAUAGCCGCUAAUAAAAUAGAUUUGUGGGAUAAUUUGUGCGUGGAUUCUACCGAGAUGAGCAAAUAUGCUCGAGAUAAUGGCUAUAUAUUCAUGGAGACAUCGGCUAAAACAGGUGCAAAUAUUCAUGAGAUUUUUUAUGCUAUGGGUAAGU